rnacentral:lncRNA from 1 species
AUGCGCGCGCCGCCGCUAAGCACCGCCCCUCGCACUCCCUUCUUCCGGCCCUGCCCACCCUCGCCCGACCAGCCAGUAUGCGCAGGCGCAGUAGGUGGGCGUGACGUGGUCGUGUGGCGCGGUUGGGUUCGCUGCGAACGGGCCUCUGCUCUUGAUGGAAGGGACGCAGCUCGGAAAGAAGGUGGAAGGUGGAUGGCUAGAUUAGAAUCUGUGAUUUUUCAGACCGAUGUGAGCUGUCUGGCAGCUGUGCCUGGUGUAGAGAUGCGGCGCCCUUGGACCUCUGUGGUGUCUAGUGGAUGGUGGAAACUUCCGCCGGAUACUUUAGGUAACUUGAUAUACAUUACUUAUGCAUGUAUGAACAGCGCAGGAAAAAUGUUUCAUCAAUGGCAUUCUAGACAUGUGCCCUCCUUGUAAGUAUAAAAGAAAGUAUUUUGUAAACAGAAAGUUUGCUUUAGCCUCAUAACCAAAAUAUUGAUUUCCAAAAGAAAAUGUUUGUUUCAGUAGUAAAUGUUUAUACCCAAAGCUAAAGCUGGAGUAUACAUUUCCUUUUAUGAUACUCAUAUGAUAUGUCAGACAUUAUUAAAAAUAAUUUGGAUGUGCCCACCCGUGGUUUUGAUGAUGUCUUCUUUCUUUGUAAACAUUUUCACAAAAUGUCUAGAUAAUUAGCUGAUUAUAAAUACUCUUUAAAUAUCCCUGUUUUUCAAAAUCAAGGUUUGGUUGUUUCAGUACCAGCUCUCCUCUUUUGGAUGACAAAAGAAAUAAUGUCAUUUUCUAUUUGCAGGUCACAUGGCCCUUCUAGAAAAUGUGGCUGUUAUAUAUUCAUGAUUCUAAGAAACCCAUCCUUUGUCCUCAUACCUGCCAAUUUCGAUGCCACCUUGGACUCCUCAUUGCAUUCAUUAUGGCUUAAAAUUAUUUAUUUGUACAGUCAGUUAAUGCCUGCAUCCCUCACUGGAAGGAUGGAGAGAAGGAGGGAGAGAGAGAGGGAGAGAGAAAUCACCAAGAAACUGGCUGGAACAAGGUAAAGAAAGAAUAAGUAAUAGGACCAGUUGUGGCUGGGUCAGAUUGGCAUUCCCCCAAAAGAAGCAUGUUCUGAGAAUAGGACUUGACAGAAAUAUUCCCUAAAAAGAAUAGAAAAGUGAAAAGUGAGACCAAG